rnacentral:rRNA from 1 species
CGGUAGGUAACCUGCCUGGUAGCGGGGGAUAACUAUUGGAAACGAUAGCUAAUACCGCAUAAUAGUAGAUGUUGCAUGACAUUUGCUUAAAAGGUGCAAUUGCAUCACUACCAGAUGGACCUGCGUUGUAUUAGCUAGUUGGUGGGGUAACGGCUCACCAAGGCGACGAUACAUAGCCGACCUGAGAGGGUGAUCGGCCACACUGGGACUGAGACACGGCCCAG